UACGUAGGUGGCAAGCGUUGUCCGGAUUUAUUGGGUUUAAAGGGUGCGUAGGCGGCCUUAUAAGUCAGUGCUGAAAUAUCCCGGCUUAACCGGGAGGGUGGCAUUGAUACUGUAGGGCUUGAGUGUAGUCGAGGUAGGCGGAAUUGACGGUGUAGCGGUGAAAUGCUUAGAUAUCGUCAAGAACACCAGUGGCGAAGGCGGCUCACUGGCCCGGUACUGACGCUGAGGUGCGAAAGCGUGGGGAGCAAACAGG
rnacentral:rRNA from 1 species